rnacentral:rRNA from 1 species
GACGAACGCUGGCGGCGUGCUUAACACAUGCAAGUCGAACGGAAAGGCCCUGCUUUUGUGGGGUGCUCGAGUGGCGAACGGGUGAGUAACACGUGAGUAACCUGCCCUUGACUUUGGGAUAACUUCAGGAAACUGGGGCUAAUACCGGAUAGGAGCUCCUGCUGCAUGGUGGGGGUUGGAAAGUUUCGGCGGUUGGGGAUGGACCCGCGGCUUAUCAGCUUGUUGGUGGGGUAGUGGCUUACCAAGGCUUUGACGGGUAGCCGGCCUGAGAGGGUGACCGGCCACAUUGGGACUGAGAUACGGCCCAGACUCCUACGGGAGGCAGCAGUGGGGAAUAUUGCACAAUGGGCGGAAGCCUGAUGCAGCAACGCCGCGUGCGGGAUGACGGCCUUCGGGUUGUAAACCGCUUUCGCCUGUGACGAAGCGUGAGUGACGGUAAUGGGUAAAGAAGCACCAGCUAACCACGUG